rnacentral:rRNA from 1 species
UAAAUACUCCUGACUGACCGAUAGUGAACCAGUACCGUGAGGGAAAGGCGAAAAGAACCCCGGCGAGGGGAGUGAAAAAGAACCUGAAACCGUGUACGUACAAGCAGUGGGAGCCUCUUAAUGGGGUGACUGCGUACCUUUUGUAUAAUGGGUCAGCGACUUAUAUUCUGUAGCAAGGUUAACCGAAUAGGGGAGCCGAAGGGAAACCGAGUCUUAACUGGGCGUUAAGUUGCAGGGUAUAGACCCGAAACCCGGUGAUCUAGCCAUGGGCAGGUUGAAGGUUGGGUAACACUAACUGGAGGACCGAACCGACUAAUGUUGAAAAAUUAGCGGAUGACUUGUGGCUGGGGGUGAAAGGCCAAUCAAACCGGGAGAUAGCUGGUUCUCCCCGAAAGCUAUUUAGGUAGCGCCUCGUGAAUUCAUCUCCGGGGGUAGAGCACUGUUUCGGCAAGGGGGUCAUCCCGACUUACCAACCCGAUGCAAACUGCGAAUACCGGAGAAUGUUAUCACGGGAGACACACGGCGGGUGCUAACGUCCGUCGUGAAGAGGGAAACAACCCAGACCGCCAGCUAAGGUCCCAAAGUCAUGGUUAAGUGGGAAACGAUGUGGGAAGGCCCAGACAGCCAGGAUGUUGGCUUAGAAGCAGCCAUCAUUUAAAGAAAGCGUAAUAGCUCACUGGUCGAGUCGGCCUGCGCGGAAGAUGUAACGGGGCUAAACCAUG